rnacentral:lncRNA from 1 species
CCCGCAAAGCAUCCACACGGCGAUCCACGGCCUUCGCGAUCAGAUCUCAGGCUCCGGCCUCACCUCCAGUUUUCCAGCCUCCUCCUCCUCCUCCGGCAACGGCGGUUGGCGCGGAAUAAUUUGACCUACUGGUUUAGCAGGUCAGAGGCCUCACUGAAGCUGUGCAGGCCAUACAGCAGCAGCAGCCGCAGGCAUCAGUGCGAC